GAUGAAGAACGCAGCGAAAUGCGAUAAGUAAUGUGAAUUGCAGAAUUCAGUGAAUCAUCGAAUCUUUGAACGCACAUUGCGCCCGCCAGUAUUCUGGCGGGCAUGCCUGUCUGAGCGUCAUUUCAACCCUCAUGCCCCUAGGGCGUGGUGUUGGGGAUCGGCCAAAGCCCGCGAGGGACGGCCGGCCCCUAAAUCUAGUGGCGGACCCGUCGUGGCCUCCUCUGCGAAGUAGUGAUAUUCCGCAUCGGAGAGCGACGAGCCCCUGCCGUUAAACCCCCAACUUUCCAAGGUUGACCUCAGAUCAGGUAGGAAUACCCGCUGAACUUAAGCAUAUAAUAAGCGGAGGA
rnacentral:misc_RNA from 1 species